AUCUGGCUGGUUCAGUCAGUAGAGUAUGAGACUCUUGAUCUCAGGGUGGUGAGUUCAAGCCUCACAUUGGGUG
rfam:Ailuropoda melanoleuca scaffold2615_19, whole genome shotgun sequence.